CAGCGACGAGUUAAUUCAGAUUGGACAAAAAUUCGGUACGAGCAUAAUUCGAAUAAAAUUCGUUGUCUAAUUUUUAAAUUUGUUGAAAAAUACGGUUAAAAAACGGAUUCGGUAAUUACUCGAAUACGUGAUUUAUACGGAUAUUAUACGUUUACCAAUUAAAAAUUUGGGAUGAAAAAUUCGGCUAUUAAAUUAAGUUUUUUCUCUCAGGAUUUAUGCUAUUAGCAUAAAUACUAAUAUUUUUUAAAAAUAUAAGACUAAAAAGCUAUAAAAUUAAGCUAAUUAAGUAAAAAAAAAUAACAAACUAUAUUAUGCCCCAAAAUAAAUAAAUAAUUAAGCAAAUAAAAAAUAAAGAUAGUCCAUAUUUAAAUAUAAAAUAUAGAAGGUUCACAUAACAUAUUUAAUUAUUAUAAUUUAUAUUUAUAAAUAAAAUAUAUUUAAAAUAUAUUAUAUAAUAAAUAUUAUAUAAUAAUGUAUUUAUAUAUAAAAAUUUUCUAUAU
rnacentral:lncRNA from 1 species